AGUCCAUGGUGUACGCACUUUCUUAGCAUUAUCUUGAACUGCUCCCAUGCCUCGUAUAGGGUAUCACCUUCAAAUUGUUUAGAAUUUGUGAUCUCCCGCCGGAGCU
rnacentral:snoRNA from 1 species